GAGCGCACGGGGGGAUGCCUUGGCGUCAAAGUGCCGAAGAAAGGACGUGCAGCGCUGCGAAAAAGCUGUGGGGAAUUGCGCUGGAGUGUUGAUCCACAGAUAUCCGAAUGGGGAAACCCGGCCUGAGGAAAGUCAGGUCAGCCGCUGGUGAAUAUAUAGCCAGUGAGCGGGGAACUCGGGGAACUGAAACAUCUAAGUACCCGGAGGAGAAGAGAAUAUUCCGUGAGUAGUGGCGAGCGAAAGCGGAGGAGCCCAAACCAGGAAGGGGCAACCUUUCUUGGGGUUGUAGGACAGACAGCAGGAACCAACCGAUAAUGGAACGGUAUUGGGAAAGCCGACCGAAGAGGGUGAGAGUCCCGUACAUGAAAUUGGUGAAGUUCUGGUUUGUAUCCUGAGUACUGCGGGGCACGCUAACCCUGCAGGAAGCUGGGGGGCCCGACCCGUCCCAAGGCUAAAUACACUUGACGACCGACAGUGAACCAGUACCGUGAGGGAAAGGUGAAAAGCACCCCUGCUAGGGGAGUGAAAUAGAACCU
rnacentral:rRNA from 1 species